GACAGAGGUGCCGAGCGUUAGGCGGAAUCACUGGGCUUAAAGCGUGUGUAGGCGGACGGGUAAGUACCUUGUGAAAUCCCACGGCUCAACCGUGGAACUGCUGGGUAUACUGCCUGUCUUGAGCGGUUUAGGGGCUGUCGGAACAAAUGGUGGAGCGGUGAAAUGCGUAGAUAUCCACAGGAACUCCGGUGGCGAAGGCGGCACGCUGGACCCUCUCUGACGCUGAGGCGCGAAAGCCAGGGGAGCGAACGGG
rnacentral:rRNA from 1 species